GUACAGAGUAAUAUCUAACUCUCUCUCUCUCUCUCUCUCUCUCUCUCUCUCUCUCUCUCUCUCUCUCUCUCUCUCUCUCUCUCUCUCUCUCUCUCUCUCUCUCUCUCUCUCUCUCUCUCUCUCUCUCUGGGAUUUUCAAGGGGGUUUUCUUGAUUCCAGUGAUAGUUUAACAGGCUCUGGUGAAAGUCAGUGGGAUUUUAAGGGUGUUUUCAUGAUUUCAGUGAGAAUUUUGACAGUUUGACAAGCUCCAGUAGAAGUUACAGAGUUUUCAAGGGUGUUUCCAUAAUUCCAGUGAUACUUUAACAGGUUCCCAUCUCUUGAUUUUCACCUGUCAUCCCCAUCCAUACAUCUGUCAAAUGCUUUAAAGCUCAGUAUUGACUCAGCACUGACAGCCUGAUUAUUGAGUCUGUUCUAUUCAUCCACCAAUCUGUUUGACUACCAUUUCCUUCCUAUCUCUUUAAAACCUUACUUAAUUAUCAAGCUUAAACCCAAUAUUUCUUGUCCUACCCUGAGAACAAACUCUGAAAUUGUAGGCGCCAUGAUACAAAGACUACAGGUCAUUUGAAUAGUGUUAGAUCAAGUUUACAAAGGACUUCAAAUAGGCAAUUGGUUUUUAAAGAUCCCUGCAUAUACUGUGAGUAAGGGCCAAGUAAAUAGUAGGUAGGGAGGGUGUGGGUAGCAGCAGGGGGUGGCUGACUUAAUGUGACCCAGCCAACCAGCCUGACCUAACCCAACCCUCCCGUGUCCCAAGUGUCCUUCAGUAGAGCAGGAAAGAUGAGGUCAAAGGGAAGGUGACUGCGAGCUUUGGGUGAAUGUGUGGUGAGGAAACUUGAGGGAGAGAAUGGAAAAUAUAAAGAAAAUAACUCUUGAAAGAAAAUAUGAAAAAUAGAAAUUGAAAUGUGAAGAAUGGAAGCUGAAAAGCGAGAGAAAUUUCAGGAAAGUACGUGAAAACCCUUGAAAUGAGAAAAAGAACAUUAAAAGAUGUGAGAAAUAAAGAUAAUAUGCAAAAAAACUCUUAAUAUGAGAAAAGAAACUUGAAAUAAAAGAAAAUAUGGAGAAAGUGCAAAAGAACUUGUUAAUGAGAAAAGAAACUUGAAAUAAAAGAGAGAGAACAAAAUAAUGAGGAAAAAAAACUUUGAAAUUUAAAUAAAACUUACAAUAUGAAUAAAAAAGAAACAUGAAAAGCAAAGGAAAAAGGUAAAAGAGCCAUUACGCUAUAUAAAGAAAUGAAGUAUAGGAAUUCCACUAUCAUAUAAGAAAAAAAGGAAAAAAAAACAUUAAUAUUUAAAGAAAACGUAUAUAUUAUAUUACUUUAAGGAAAAAAAAAAACUUCAAUAUGAUACACCGAAAAAAAAAGAUGCAUGAAAAAAAGGACGUAAGAAAAGAGGAAAGGAAAAGUUUAUCUUACAUUUACACAUUCACGUAUUUUAUGAAAGAUUUGUUGUACUUUGUCUUACUCUCCAUAACCACAGACAUACACACACGUAAUGCACCGAACUGUAAGAUAUUUGAGGGAGAAAAGAUGGAGUAUGCGAAAAUGUAUGCAACCUUCCAUUUCAUCGCCGAAUCAAUUAGAAGUUAUCAAUAUGAACAGAUUAUUUAUUUAUUUUUAUUUAUUUAUUUAUUUAUUUUUUGUCUAGUUUUUCUUCAUUUUAUGUUUAUUUUUGUUUUUUCAUUUAUUUUUAGAGGUUAUUAAUGAGCGAAUUAUUAUUUCAUUGUUUUUUUUUUUAUCUGUACUUUAUAUAUAUUUGUAACUAUCAUUUUAUCUAUAUCUUUUUUUUAUCUAUUUUUACUUAUUUUUACCCGUAUCUUCAUUUAUUUGUUACUUGCUGGUCGUAACUUGUCCUCCAUCAUUCCAUACUAAGUUAACACACUCUGCUAAGGUCAUUGUGAUAGUAGAUUGUACCGCUAGCAUCUCUGGAGAACAAACAAAGAACAACUGACAGAAGAUGAUACGAAGAUGAACCAGUAAAAAGACUCGCUAGUGGGGUUCGAGCGUGUGUCUCACGAAACUUCGGAGAGACAGUGACAUGUUUUAUACAGUCUUUUGUAAAUAAAUUUGUAAUAACUCAGCCUUUUUGUUUUGUUUCUAGCAGAGAGAGAGAGAGAGAGAGAGAGAGAGAGAGAGAGAGAGUGUGUGUGUGUGUGUGUGUGUGUGUGAUCACCAAUAGUAACACAGCUAUCGUAAAAAUGUAAUCACCUUGUCUAUCUUCUUAUGUUUCUCUUUGUCUGCCUUUCUCUCUGUCUGUCUGUCUGUCGUCUUAUAAAUCUAUCUAUCUGAAUAUCUAUCUACCCAACCUUCUACUUAUUAACUAUUUCAUUACCUGCCUAUCUAUCUACGCAUUAAUCAGCUCACUCACACUGUCUGUUGUCUAAACGUCUAUCUAUCAACCUAUCUAUUUGCGUAUCUACCUAUUUGUCUAUCUAUCUUCUUACGUAUGUCUAUAUCUAUCAAUAUCUAUCAUACCUAAUCACCUCAUGAAAUCAUCUCCAAAUAGCUUAUUUAACGAUCUCUCCUUAUUUAACUCCACUUGUCCUUACCUUACACCACAUAAAAACGUAAGAAACCAAGGGAAGCUACAAGAAGCCACCUUGCAGGCCUACACGUGGCAUGGAUGAAGACAAGUAAGUAGAAGCAGAAGUAGAAAUAAGCAUUAGUAGAGCGUGGACGAGUCGAGUGAACGAGGGAGUGAAUCAAACGCAAGGAAGAGGGACCCUAUUUUGAAACGCUUCUGCGCCGCACCUCCAGUAUAUUGAAAGGGCUCUAGUCGAAGUUAUGCGGGUUUUUGAGGGUGGUCUUAUGGUCCUAGUAACAUAUGAACGAGAUUUUUGUAUUAUUAACAGCAUAAUUACUCUUGAGAACCCUUUGGAAAUAGUCGUGGUGAGAGAGCGGUGUUUCAUAAUACGUGCUUCAUGAGACAGUUGGGGUGUUACUGCGCAUACUCGGAGGGAAAGGGUAGGAAAGAAGGAGAAAGCCGGUCACUGUAUCCUAGAGCUUCAGAGGGGCAGGGUUGUGUCCUGAGCUGAGCCGGCGCCGGAACCGGUGAGGCAGGUGACGGUGGCGGUGACGGCUGAGUCUUCAGGUGGCUCGGCAUUGUGAGGAAGGAGCGACGGGGAAGACCCGCUUUUGACAAGACACAGGAGACGAGGCAUUGUUAGAUCUUCUUCAGCUGUGGUCCGUUCCCAGCCUGCUCCAGCCACUGCCAGCCAAUCUGAGCUGUAUCAAGCCAUUCCCAGCCAUAUCAAGUGACCUUCAGCCGUCCCCAGCUUCUCUAAGUCAUUUCCAGCCACCACCAGCCAUCUCCAAAUCUCUAGAAGCCGUCCUGGCCACGGUCGUCCAGCCCACAGCCACCAUACACCCCUACAUUCCCUGGUGUGUUGGGGGGGCGCACAGUCUUCACACGCUGGUUCUCAUUUUUUGGCAGUGUAGCCGGAAAGUAGACCACCAGAUGGAAAUAAGAGUUCAGGAGACUCUCAUAUCAAUAUUUUUUUUUUUUUUUUAUAUACAAAGGCUUUCUUGUAAUCUUCUCAUAUGUACAUCAAAUACAAUAAAAUGUUUUCCUUAUAAAUCUUGUACAUUGCUUGCCUUCCUCAGAAAUUCAAAUAUAUAACUCCAUUCAUAA